GUUUACGGCCACACCGCCUGGUUCAUGCCCGAUCUCGGAAGCUAAGAUAGGUUGGGCCUGGUUAGUACUUGGAUGGGAGACCGCCUGGGAAUACCAGGUGCUGUAAGCU
ensembl:rRNA 5S_rRNA 5S ribosomal RNA